rnacentral:ncRNA from 1 species
AAUUAGAUUGAUUCUGUCUAAUAUAUAAUUAGCUUUUAAUAUUUAAUAUUAUAUGCAAAUUUUUGUGUGAUUAUUAUGUUUCUUAAAGAAACUGUUUUUAUUUAUAUUUGCAGUUGUUAUUUUUGUUUUUCUUGGUAACAAGGAAACAGUUAAUUUUAUUAGAAUUGUUAAAGGUUGUGCCAGCAAACGCGGUUACACAAUCAAUUCAAGUUAAUUUUUUUGGUUAGCAUUUAUUUAUUUUUUUGGAAUAAAAAUGUAAAUUAUAAGGUGAAAUUUUAAUUUAUUUUAUAUUCUUGGUGAAGAUAUAUGUGAAAUUUAAGUUUUAGACUAGGAUUAGAUACCCUAUUAUAUUAUAUGUAAAUUUUAGACCAUAGUAUUAAUAGUUAUGAUCUUUAAAUUAAAAGAAUUUGGCGGUAAUUUAGUCUUUUCAGAGGAACCUGUUCUGUAAUUGAUAAUCCACGUUGGAUUUUACUUUAAUUUUUGUUUGUAUACCUCUGUCAUUGAAUGUUUUAUUAGAAUAUUUUCUUUAAUUAUUAUUUAAUUAAUGUCAGGUCAAGGUGCAGCUAUAUUAAAGGUUGAAAUGGGUUACAUUUAAUGUUAUUUAUUGGAUUAAAUUUAUUUGUAAUAAUUUUAUGAAAUAGGAUUUGAAAGUAAUUAAUAAUAAUUAUUAUUAAUGAUUUGAGCUCUAAAUUAUGCACACAUCGCCCGUCGCUCUCAUUAUUAAAAUGAGAUAAGUCGUAACAAAGUAAUUUUACUGGAAAGUGAAGUUAGAAAUAA